AAAAAAAGAAGCUUGUGUGAUGCAAUGCCAGUUCUAUUCGACCCAGCCACCCAAAUUUUGGAAGCACUUUCUCUCUCUUAAUUUUCAAGAAUUUCCAAUCCUUCACAAAUCUGGUCACUCAAGAUAAGUUCUUGUGACAAUAUGUUCUUGAGCAGAAGUUCUUUUACAGUAUUUUUUAGAUCUGAAUUGCGUUGUUCUCCCGUGUUUCCUAUUUUUUGUUUGCGGUACAAAACCCUCUGUUGUCCCUUGCUUUCCUAUUUCCCUUCGCUACACAAACCCAAAAAGACUUGCGUUUUGCCUCUACCAAAUGCUCUCUCACCAAAAAGGUAUUUUGUCACUUUUGAAAAGGAUGGACAAAUUGAAGAAGCCAAGUAGGAACGUUGAGUUUGGUGGACUGUUGCGCUCUUGUGGACCAUUCUAUUUAGUUAAUCUGACUUUGGAGGACCAUACUAUUUACUUAAACUACCUGAGCUUUUGUUGUUGGUAUCCAUCAUUGUGAUACCAUUUUGUUCAUAAUGGAAAUAAUUUGAUCUCUGUGAUCUAUAAGCUAUUUUUGCCUAUUGCAUUAGGUAAACUGUUGAUGUCGUGCUUGCCUCUAA
rnacentral:lncRNA from 1 species